UACAGAGGGGGCAAGCGUUAUUCGGAAUUAUUGGGCGUAAAGGGCGCGUAGGCGGCAUGGCAAGUGGAUGGUGAAAUCCCUCGGCUUAACCGAGGAACUGCCGUCCAAACUGCUUCGCUUGAGACCGGGAGAGGUGAGUGGAAUUCCCAGUGUAGCGGUGAAAUGCGUAGAUAUUGGGAGGAACACCAGUGGCGAAGGCGGCUCACUGGACCGGUACUGACGCUGAAGCGCGAAGGCGUGGGGAGCAAACGGG
rnacentral:rRNA from 1 species